CCCAUGUUAGGGAAGUUUUUGACUAUAGUCUCUUCAGAUAUUUUCUUGGGUCCUUUCUCUCUCUCUCUCCUCCUUCUGGGAUCCCUAUAAUGUGAAUGUUGUCGUGUUUAAUGUUGUCCCAGAGGUCUCUUAGGCUGUCUUCAUUUCUUUUCAUUCUUUUUUCUUUAUUCUGUUCUGCAGCAGUGAAUUCCACCAUUCUGUCUUCCAGGUCACUUAUCCGUUCUUCUGCCUCCGUUAUUCUGCUAUUGAUUCCUUCUAGUGUAGUUUUCAUUUCAUUAUUGUAUUGUUCAUCUCUGUUUGUUUGUUCUUUAAUUCUUCUAGGUGUUUGUUCUUUAAUUCUUCUAGGUCUUUGUUAAACAUUUCUUGUAUCUUCUUGAUCUUUGCCUCCAUUCUUUUUCCGAGGUCCUGGAUCAUCUUCACUAUCAUUAUUCUGAAUUCUUUUUCUGGAAGGUUGCCUAUAUCCACUUCAUUUAGUUGUUUUUCUGGGGUUUUGUCUUGUUCCUUCAUUUGGUACAUAGUCCUCUGCCUUUUCAUUUUGUCUGUCUUUCUGUGAAUGUGGUUUUCCUUACACAGGCUGCACACCUGUAGUUCUUCUUGCUGGUGGAUGAGGCUAUCUAAGAGGCUGUGCAGCUUCCUCGUUGUAAGGAUUAAAUAAACAAAUACACAUAGAAUAAUAGAAAAGUGUUUGACACUUUAGAGUUCAAAAGAUGUCUCUUAUUUGUAUUAUCUCCAUCAGAUUAAUCAUCAUUCACAUUGCUGAUACAGAGAGUUCUAGAGAAAAACAGAAGUAGAUGUCUAUAGAUCACCCCUGCGAUUACAUGGACCCAUUCUUUAGCACUUCUUGGGUUUGGUUAUGCAAACCUAGCUGUGAAUCCACUUGACUAUUCUGUCAUUCAGUUCAUAUUUCUCCAUUAAAUCCUAAUAGGAUCAUAAGAUAUUGUGAAAACUGCCUUGAUGAAAUUCAUACACACUGAAUCUACCACAUUUUCUUCAUCCUGCAUUCUAGUUACUCUACUGAAGAGGAAAACCAUUUAGUCCUGCUUGACUUCCUUUUGGUGCCUAAUGAUUACCUCUUUCUUUUCUGAGUGUUCUCAAAAAGUUUCAGAAUAAAUUUUAGAAUUUUGCUGGGAUUUUAUAUUUUCUCUUUUUGUCAAUCUCCAGGCAUUUGGGGACUUUUUCAUUUGCUGAAAUGCCACCAGUGUGGCUGGCUGGAGUGGGACAGUCACAGCCAUGAGUGUUCUCAGGCUUGUGGAUACAGUCUGGGCCAGGAGACCCCAAUCCAUGCCAAACAGCUAAGGAUCUAGUGUUAUGCUGCUGUGGGCCUCAAUUCCCUCUUGUUCACAUUUUGUUCUACCCUAACAGGUGGGAAAUCA